rnacentral:tRNA from 2 species
GCCAGCGUAGCUCAGUUGGUUAGAGCGUGGGACUCAUAAGCCCGAGGUCAGUGGUUCGAUUCCACUCGCUGGCACCA